UACGAAGGGGGCUAGCGUUGUUCGGAAUCACUGGGCGUAAAGCGCACGUAGGCGGACUUUCAAGUCAGGGGUGAAAUCCCGGGGCUCAACCUCGGAAUUGCCUUUGAUACUGUAGGUCUCGAGUCCGGAAGAGGUGGGUGGAAUUCCUAGUGUAGAGGUGAAAUUCGUAGAUAUUAGGAAGAACACCGGUGGCGAAGGCGGCCCACUGGUCCGGUACUGACGCUGAGGUGCGAAAGCGUGGGGAGCAAAAAGG
rnacentral:rRNA from 1 species